UGGUUUAUAUUAUUUUAAGCAAAUGCCAAAGGCAUACACUACUUUAGAGUUUUGCUCAUUAUUUAGUAAGAAAUAUGUAUUUUGUGUAAAUUAACUGAUAGCAAUGUUAAUGACAUGUUAAGUAAUAUUAAGUAAUGUUCCUAUUUUAUAGAAAGGUUUAAGAGUAUGGACAAACCAAAUCUCUGAGAGAUGCAACCAGAAGACGGAUGAGAAACAUACUUGAGGCUGAGAUGACAGAAUGACAUGGGACAUCUCCCCCUAAAAGCGUAAGAGUGAUGUAUGCGCAGGACAUUGUUGCUCUGUCUCCAUAUCUGGAAGACCCAUAUUAACAACAUGGAUAUAAACAUUACUACGAUCCAGAGAACAGUUCAGGAUACAUUGCAUGGCGGUUGAAGACCAUUCAAAGAAAAGCUGUGGAGGAAAGAAGCGUCUCAGUUUGCAAAUCUCCCAAAAAUAGAACAAGAUUUCCGACUCCUGUUUUGUGAGGUCACUGGGAGCAAAUUCUUGGAGAGGUGGCUCACCAAUCUCAAAGCAAAGGUUGUAAAGGAAAGUCA